CAGUAGCCACGGGAAUACGGAGGGUGCAAGCGUUAAUCGGAAUUACUGGGCGUAAAGCGCACGCAGGCGGUUUGUUAAGUCAGAUGUGAAAUCCCCGAGCUUAACUUGGGAACUGCAUUUGAAACUGGCAAGCUAGAGUCUUGCAGAGGGGGGUAGAAUUCCAGGUGUAGCGGUGAAAUGCGUAGAGAUCUGGAGGAAUACCGGUAGCGAAGGCGGCCCCCUGGACAAAGACUGACGCUCAGGUGCGAAAGCGUGGGGAGCAAACAGGAUUAGAUACCCCUGUAGUCCCUGUCUCUUAUAC
rnacentral:rRNA from 1 species